rnacentral:ncRNA from 1 species
AAUCUCGCCAAGAACCACUUGGUAAGCCUAAAUACUACCUGGUGACCGAUAGCGGACAAGUACCGAUGAGGGAAAGGUGAAAAGUACCCCGGGAGGGGAGUGAAAUAGUACCUGAAACCGGAUGCUUACAAUCCGUCGGAGCCUCCAUGGCUGGGGUGACGGCGUGCCUUUUGAAGAAUGAGCCUGCGAGUUAGUGGCAUGUGGCGAGGUUAACCCGGGUGGGGAAGCCGUAGCGAAAGCGAGUCCGAACAGGGCGCACCAGUCGCGUGCUCUAGACCCGAAGCGGAGUGAUCUACCCAUGGGCAGGUUGAAGCACGUGUAAGAGCGUGUGGAGGACCGAACCCACUUAGGUUGAAAACUGAGGGGAUGACCUGUGGGUAGGGGUGAAAGGCCAAUCAAACUCCGUGA